rnacentral:tRNA from 1 species
GGGCUCCUAACUCAGUUGGUUAGAGCGCUCUACUCUAACUCGCCCCUCACCAACCACAAAAAGAGAUAGAAAUCAGCACCCA